UGGGGAAUAUUGCACAAUGGGCGCAAGCCUGAUGCAGCCAUGCCGCGUGUAUGAAGAAGGCCCUCGGGUUGUAAAGUACUUUCAGUCGGGAGGAAGGUGGUAAGGUUAAUAACCUUGGCAAUUGACGUUACCGACAGAAGAAGCACCGGCUAACUCCGUGCCAGCAGCAGCGGUAAUACGGAGGGUGCAAGCGUUAAUCGGAAUUACUGGGCGUAAAGCGUACGCAGGCGGUUGAUUGAGUCAGAUGUUAAAUCCCCGGGCUUAACCCGGGAAUUGCAUCUGAUACUGGUCAGCUAGAGUCUUGUAAAGGGGGGUAGAAUUCCAUGUGUAGCAGUGAAAUGCGUAGAGAUGUGGAGGAAUACCGGUGGCGAAGGCGGCCCCCUGGACAAAGACUGACGCUCAGGUGCGAAAGCGUGGGGAGCAAACAGG
rnacentral:rRNA from 1 species